rnacentral:lncRNA from 1 species
UGGAUGGUGAGGUGGAGGAGGGGUGACUGGAACAACACAGAGGAGCAGCAGGGCAGGGUGAAUGGACACAGGAGGAUCAAAUCAACAAUCGCAGGGGGAGGGAAAAACACAAGGACAGAUCUCCGCCAAAUCCAGGAUCAUCGUCACCUUCAGGCCCAUAUUCGCUCCCGUCUGUAUGUCCAUCUUGAGUACUGUGGCUCGAGCUGGUAUGGUUCCACCAUAUUUAACUCGCCCGCAUGAUCUAAUUCCACGACACCGGCAUCCUCUUCAAUAAACUUCUCCAUCUUGAAAGUGCAACGAGUCUAUUGACGACUCACUGUAACUUGAUUCUGACUAAAUAUCGGAGCCAGAGUCCGACAUCGUCACGUCUGCCAUGCUGUCUGUGUAUUCAACAAGUGGACUCGUGUUCUACUUGUGACGUAUCGUGACAUCACAAAAUGGCGGCGGCUGUUUCUCGGUAGCGGUGAUGUCAACAUCGGUGGUCGACAUAAUAAAAUGUUUUUUAUUAAAUACUGCGGUUAUAGUGUCAUUAAUAACACAUUAUUUUGCACCACAAAUAGCAUUUAUUAUCAUCAUUAAAAUUUCAUGUGUAGCAUUUCGUAGGCUCUUAAGUAAAAGUAUCAUCAGCAACAUGUACUUAGAAGGUGAGCGAAUUUAACCGAAAAUACCUACAAACGACAUACCCAAAGUAAAUUGAAAGCUGCUCUUCAACCAUUUGGACCAGCUGCAUGACUUUGGUCUCAUUCAAAAGAUCUUAUUGUUCUUGCAAAACAGUGAAGAAUUACUCCAAGUGCUUCUGGCACUGAGUAAUAGUGGUAUGAAUAUACUGAAUUUUAAGAAAAUACAGUGCAAUUUUGAGUGUACUUGCUAGUUUGAGGAGCUGAUUGUACCGCUGUUGUGAUUUUCAUCUCCAUAUUAAAAUAGACGAGAUUCUAAGCUUUCCAAAAAUAUAAUUUUUUUUUUUUUUUUCACACUCUAAGAGGUUUUAAAGCAUUGGAAAUUAAAAUGGUCAUGCAGAAUGGCCCACUUUAG